GCUGGCCCCGCCCCUUCUGGGCAGAGCCACGCCCCCUUGGCACAUAGCCACGCCCAUUCUGCGCAAAGUCACGCCCCCUUGGGGGAUCUGCAUUGGGGAUGCUAAUUGGAGGGCAGGGGACACCCUGGGGUGGCAGCUGGGGACAGUGGGGUUUGGGGGUCCCCGGAGCGGGUUUUUGGGGGGGACGUGCCCUGCUUUCCCCGGGUGCAUGUGCACACACGUGUGCACGCCCACGCACACGCGUGUGCCGGCUGCCGCCUCCCACGCUGCCCCCCCUCCCCCCCCCAAAAAAAACCCCGGUGGCAAAUUGGGGUCCGGAGGCGCCACCGAAGUGGGAGGCCCCCGCCGGGGCUGGGCACGGCCCCGCAGAAGGGGCGGCCGGUGGGUGCCAACAUGCCCCCGCCUCGCUUGGGCACCUCUGCUCCACGCGAGGGGCCCAGGUGUCCUGCCCUGGGGUGGGAAGGGGGGGAGACAGAAAGGGGAGCAGCAAGCAGGGAUGGAGCUGGAGGCGCCGGGUCCCCAACGGAGAGCGUCCCCCCCCGAGCCUGGGUCCCCGCAGGCAGCUCAGGCUGAGGGGUGGCCCCGUCCCCACCGUGGGGGGGGGGGGGGCCGUGCCCGGUGGCCCCCCAUCCUCACAGGCCCGGGACAGGCGGAGGCCCGCGGAGCCGGCAAGGAGGGGCCCCGGGGGAGGGAGCGGGCCCCCCGGCAGCAUCGCCCGCCUCUGGAUUCUCGGGAAUUACCAGCUUGCAACACAGGAAACGCUGCCGCUCGUGGUGGAAAACACCCGCCGCCACCCCCCGCGGGCCACGGAGCCCGGGCAGAAGGGGCCAGGCCCCGCCGGCACCAUCGACUGCCCCCCGGGGGGCUGCCGGGGCCGGGGGGGCAAGGGGGUGCCGGGACCGGGCUCGCUGGGGCUUUCCUUGGGCUCCCAGCCCGGCUGUUUGGAGCGGAACCAGCCCCACGGCAGGGGAUUUGCUCACCUUUCCUGGGAGGCUGAGAUCAUGCCUGAACCACUGCCAAGCGCCGGGGAAACUGAGGCAGCGUCCGGCAGCACCGACCGGGGCCCAGCCCUGCGCCCGGGGGCCAUUUGGGGCCUGAACCCUCCUGCUUCAGGGAGGGACCAGCAAAAAGAGGCAAAAAAGGGAAGGGGGAUCUGGCCUGGUGCCCGCGGGGGACCCCGGGGCCGGGCGACGGAGCCGCUCGGCGGGUCAGAGGAGCCAGGAUCAAACCGUGGCCUCUCCCGGGGCCACAAAGUCACUGUUUUAUUCGGGAAUUCAGAGCAUGCCCAAGCGCGGGCAGCAGCGGAUCCCCCCGUGCGGGCGCAGCCCCGGCGGGGCGCUGACGCCGGNNNNNNNNNNNNNNNNNNNNNNNNNNNNNNNNNNNNNNNNNNNNNNNNNNNNNNNNNNNNN
rnacentral:lncRNA from 1 species